AAUUGCUGAUCAAACCAAAAAUAUGAAAAAAAAAAAAAAAAACAAGCUGGACAUUGUCGCGCCCUCGAAUCUUUGGAUCGCCUGGAGUCAACCAAGUAAAAGGAGAAGAUCUUCGAUUCACACCACAAUCCCCCAGCCCCAGUUCUUCGGAGGAAUUGUCUACUGCGCUCCGAUUUACUUCCGAUUACAUUUCCUCGUAUUAAAUUGUUACAAUUUGCCGCUAACAAUAUGCCUUACGAAUUUGUGUUGUCAACAAUGGGAACAGAACACCCAGAUGCAUUGUGGCCAAGUGACAAAUGGGGUUUGGUCUCUUUUCGGUAAGAUCUAGCGAUCAAAACACACAACACAAAUAGGAGAAAAAAGGGCCAAAUGGAGGAGGGUUGGGCUGCCGAAAGAAUUGCAUUAUCGUUUGUUUGGUGACUCCGUGUGCGCACUGCGCACCAUGGGAUGUCGAUGUCGAUGCCCAUGCCGACGUGGAACAGUGUCCUUGCUGCGGCUGAUAAUGUCAUUACCUGGGCGCAGACGACGCAAACGCAAGAGCAAAUGAAAGCCAAGCCUGCCGUGCCCUGGUCACCGCAUGACGUCACCAGGGCCUGUGUGUGCGUUUUUUGUUUUUGUUUUUUGGGUCGCGUCGCAAACAUAAAGCGACAAAUUGACGCAAAACAUUUAACACACGGACAGGGCAGGACAGGACCCCGGACAUGGUCAAACAUGGUCCAUUGCCUUCGGUGGAGGAGGUGGGGAGCAAAAGCAACAACUGCAACGUUGGCGGCUUCCUCUCUAUGAGGCAUGGCCCGGCAUGGAAAAAAUUCCUUUGAAUUACGUCCGUUGCAGCAGCACCGCCACCACAUCGCACCGCACACACAUGUGUGUGUGUGUGUGUCAGCUCUUGGCAAUGCGCAAAAAAGGACAUCUCCGCCGGCGGUGGUGCCGGCUUGUAGCCUGCAUCCGUGUUGGUGGCCAAGCGGCAUCGGGCAACGGAGCGGUGAGGCAUUGUAUGCCACUCUAUUAUGCAUUUCGUAGCUCGUACUGGCUCCGCCGUGUUGACACUUUUAUUCCAAACAGUUGAGCAAUAUUUAUAAACUGAAGUCUGGCAGCGGCAGGAGCGUGGAAUGCAAAAGAGAGAGUUGCAGGCGCCUGGAGAGGAGUGGCAGUGGAAGCGGCUUGUACGCCCGCAGGAGUGAACUGGACUCCUAAGUGCACAUUCUUUUGCAGCUCAUGAAAUCUUCCAUUUGAUUAACAUUUGUUUUUGCUCUUGCUUGCAGGCCAUGGCCAAGCGGCUAAGCUCAUUUCAUGGAUGGGGAUGGAUGGGAUUUGUUUGUUGUUUCUGGCACAGCGGCACAGGCAAAAACAACACCUUGAAGCCCUGCGCAACCACUGACCGGCCAACGGAUCAUCUAAUUGAAUGACAAUAUUAUGCCAAGGCCUAAUUCAAUUUGCAUUCAGCCGGAGGGCAGCCGCAACGCAACGCAACGCGAAAACAGUAGCUUAAAUCUUAAACAAACACAGCAAUUACAGCAGAACGGAUGCACUUGCUGCUUGGACCUCUGCCUGCACCUCUACUGCUGCUGGGUUUUUCGUCUAGCCAAAUGACUGCGACGAGGACUCUCCUCUCUCCCUGGGACCCUGUAAUUAGUCCUGGGAUGAAACGAGAUGAGAAACGAGAGGAUGAGGUAUACGCCUCGGCCCUCUGACCUUUGUCGGCCUCAUCGGGGGUCCGGUUGCGCUGCCUAAUUACAGGGUAAUCAGGCUUUCAGCCGCUUUGGCUUUGGCGCUACCGUUUUGUGGGGGGCCUCAGCUAGAUGAUGAUUGAUUAGUGGCAUGGCGUGGCAUGGCCAUUCCCUAAGCUUAAGACUGUAAGAAUCCACCUCUCAUCAGUGGCGUGGAUUGACAUCUGCCAGCAAAGUGCAUGGAAGGGAGCGCGUGCCAGCGGCGGCAACAAAGCAGCAAAAAGAAUGGAAAUGGAAAAAGUGCAAACAAGCAGCUGAAAGGCCAAAAGAGAGGAGCACUGAAAUGGAUAUGGAAAACAGCGAUAAGCGACAGAGAAAGCAAAUCGAAAACUGAUUUGGAGCGGAAGUUCGUUUGCACCUUUCCCAGCAGCAGCAGCAGCGGCAGCGGCAGCAGUUUCCUGUAUUUGCGAUGUCAAGAACAAUAAGAACACACACAACACACAGCGAAAAAGAGGGAGUACGAGUGCGAGUACGAGUACGCACUGCCAAGACGUUAAGAAAUAAUCCAUGAAUCAGUGGAAAAUGUUCCAUCGGUACGUUCCACCUUGACGUUUUGGCCUUUGACGCCGUCUUUUGUCUUGAGAAUUGGAGUGCACACACAGUCACCGCCCGUUGGCUUUUGUAUUGCAAAAUCAAAAGCUAUAUGCGACUCCAUUGCAUUGCCAUAUAUAGAUUAAGGAUAUGCUUUGCCUUGCCUUGCCUUACGUGUGUGUAUGCAAAGGAGCAAGGAGCAGCUGUCGUCUCCUUCUGUAUUUGAUUUGCGAUUUCUGAGGCAAGCGGAAAUGGAAUGACACGCGAGGCACUCCAGCACAGUCACUCCUUCUCACAUUGUUUGGCAGCAGAUUGGCAAAAAUGGAGGCAAACAAACCUAACAGAGAGCCAAACGAGCGAGCGAGGAGGCUUCCUUCCUUCCACUCGAGCCAUACGCAUUGUUUGGCUGCGCUGUUCGAACUAGCGCGUACCUUUGAAGGGGCGUGCCGCCAAAUGGAGGAAGCAUAUGCCUGGAAAUCGGAUAUUGCUCUAAACAAUCCACAAAACACAACAAAAAACACAAACCAAACACAUUGCUAGACCCAAAAGCAGAGUUUUCCAACCCACUGAGCAGCCGCAAUCUGACGAUUUCAGCUGCCACUGCCACUGCCACUGCCAUGGAGUGGGAGUAGGAGUGAAAGAGUAGGUGUAAACCUGAGCAACGCGUGUCCUAGGCUUAGAGAGGAGGACGGCCACAGCUACGACCGUGGACUGAUGUCUCAUUAGCGUAUGGAUCGGGUCACAGGUUAAUGAUGUGCGCACCCCGUGCCUGCGCUUCCGCCUUGGACGCAACACAAUUAUUCGAGGCACUUGAGCGAAGAACGAGGAAUGCAACAGCAGCAGCAGCAGCAGUGGCAGUGGCACCUCCACUGUAACUUCUUCUAAUUCAUUGACCCCUCGGCGAACCUCUGAAGCUGCUCCGCUCGGGGUUUUUCGGUGUUUUUUUAUGACGCUGUCGUAAAUGUCACAGGGGUUGCAGGUUGAGCGAGAGAAGAACAAAUGAAACUUAAUUUGAUUUCAAACCCCCCCAGGGAGAGCGUGUUCUCCUCACAGAGCGGAUUUCGAACCCACAGACAGACACACGAAAAGCGAAACGCAAAAUUCGAUUUCCUGAAAAUGUUUUGAAGAUAAAUUGUCGUCGGUUAUGUGGCCGGGGAUUACAUAAAGUCUCGCAUUCGCGGACAAACACCUGCAGCCUGGAUGGACGCAGCUGGGCGAACGGAAGAGCCGCACGGGACGGGACUCACGUGCAAAAAUAAAAUGCAAAAAUGAUCAUUUCGAGAUAUGCGAAACGGGACAUGAACGCCGCUACGCCACGCCACGCCGCAGGAUACCAAACAGUGGAGGAAAUGCCGUCUACAUGGUCGUUCAUCCUCUCCUUUUUUUGGCUUGAAUUUCGUGACGAUAGCAAAAAAUAUUGCAUUGAGCGGCAAUGGGCAGGCGUGGAUGUGGAGGAGGCUCCUGGGGUUCUGGUCCAUUUCGGGUGCACGUCGUUAUCCUUGCCCCCGGAUGCACAACAAUCAAAAUAAACGGCUGCCAAAUUGACCAUUGACCAAACAACGUCAGCAAGAGGAGGCCAAAAGGAGAGCAGAAAUGGCACGAUGAAGGAGUAGGGCCCAAUGCCCCAAUGGAGGAGUAGAGCCCAAUGGCCCGAUGUAGCAGCAGAAGCAGAGCGGCAAGCACCAAUGUCAAUAGCGGAGGCGAGAGGACAGCUGAAUGCCGAGUGGAGAAGCAAGCGAACUCAAUGUCCGCUGGAGCAGCAUCUGCAGCAGCAGCAGAAGGACGAAAACUCACUGCCGAAUGCUGAAGGAUGUGUGUGGGAGUGGAAACUCGUACGCGAAUUGGACAAGCGACAUCAUCUUUGCCACUGUCACGUCCACUCCAGCGACAACUCACGGUCCAAGCAGCCAUCAAAGUUGUUUUUGGCAUCCGCCAAAGAAGAGAAUCCAAUUGCUGGAAACGUCAAAGCGAUUAAACGCGCGAGCUGCAGUCGUUUUCUGCGGAUUAUUUCGACUGUUCAAGGACCUAAAGGUGCAGCAGGGAAAGGCAGAGAACUGAGAGGGAUUCAGAAUAAUCUAGAUCAUCGCUUUCCCCCCAUCCAACAGCUCUCUUUCAUAAUUAACCAGAAAUGUUUGCCACUCGCGCGCGUCUGCCUCCAACCCCAACCCCAGCACAUCGAUUUGCGCGAUUUUAUUGCAGAAUAAUGAAAUCGCCAAGAGAUUCCAAUUCAAUCUACGCGCCGCGUAGGCCAUUUAUGGAUUGGCAUUGAUUUAAUACCGCAUCGUCUGCGUCUGCUUCGUCGUAGCGGCCGUCGCCAUCUCUUGGCGAUCGCCUCCAGGUUUUGCUGCCAGGCGUCCCCUGAGCCCAAGGCGCAAGGCAUUUUGCACCUACCAAACAGAAGUAGAAGGAGCAGCCAGCAGCGGACUCCAAAGUCCGAAUCUGAUCUGAUUCUCGCCGCCUAUCGAAGCUGGAGAUCAACAGAAAGGAGCAGCAGCAGACGCCACCGCGGCGGAGGAUGGAUGGAGCUCCACUCGCGAAUGUUUAUUCAAUAAACUCGAUCUUCGAUGUGGCAGCAGCAGCAGCAGCAGCAGCAGCAGCUGGGCUGACUGACUGUGCAUUCCAGCACAGAGGAGAACCACUCUCGACACAACUGUGGACUGUGGCCCCCAUUCAAGACAAGCCGCUGGAAUUUCUUGGUGCGUGCUCGGCACAGGUUCGGUCUCGGGUUCAGUUCAGGUUCAGGUUCAGCUGGUUAGCUUUGGCGUCUGCCAGCUGCGUCUCCUGAUUAUGAUAAUGGGGAGAGACCAGGCCAGGCCAGGCCAGGCCAUUCCGUACCGGGGGCCGGGUAUAUGAUCGAAUGAUCGAAUGCUUGGCAGCUCCGUUGACUUUCUGAUUAAUGCAAGAAUGCUCCUUGGCGGCGUUCUUGCUUUUUGCUGACUGAUUCUUUCCGACUGCAAUUAAAAGUGUUGUUUACCCUUUAGCCAGGGACAAGGACGUGGCAUGGCAUCAAUGAGACGCUGACAAGAGGCUUCAAUGAAGGUCAAAGAGGAGGAAUUACUUGGCCCAAAGAGCAUCCCAAAGUCGUUGUGGUAGUGACCAGCAGACGCAUCAGAUUGAUUCUUGACCGGCUGCCGGUAGUCUCCUGCUGUGUGCCUGAUGCCAGAUGCGGCCCCGUCCAGCCAGUCGCGGCAGCGGCAGUCGCCUCGUGCCUACCAGUUGUCAUAACGUUCAACACAUAUCUGCUGGCCCCUCGGUGGCGUCGUCGCCUGCGUCUUCGUCCGCGCCAUCACUGUGGUCAUCGUCGGUGUGGUGCCCAGGGCUCUCUGCGCUGCCAUAAAAGGAUUUGUCACGUGCGAGCUUUUGUUAAAAAUGCAACAAUCAUCAUCAGCGGAGGGCAAUCUCCAUUGCAACAGCAGCAGGAGCAGGAGGAGCAGCAGGAACAGAGUCUCCCUGCAUUAUGCAUGUCGCAUUGCCAGGGCAGACAUCGUUCGGAGCAUUCCUUCGCUUGAAGGCAGGUCCUGGUCCAUAUGGCCAACGCCAGUCCCCCCACCAUCCACAGCAGAUCAUUGAAAUUUAUAAUUAAGUGGAAAUAUGUUGUCUACGAAGUAAAGAUUGCAACAAGGAUCUUCAGAUUGAUGCUAAAGAUAUGAAUGCCACAGACAAAGGGCAGCAGCAGCAGCAGCAACAGCCGAGGAGUGGGUCCCACAAUUGGAAUAACAAAUGCAUUAGCAGUGACCAAACAAGGACCUAAUAAUAUACUCACAGGGGAUGUGCAUUGUGUAAAGAAUGGGCGCACCAUGGUACGAGCUCAUCCACAAUUACCGUUAGACUGCAGCGCACACAGAGAGAGAGAGAGAGAGAGAGACGAGGCAGAGAACACAAAGAUAGAAGGCAAAUAAAGACAUUGUCCUGCUCCUGCUGUUGCUGUUGCUGCUGCUCCUGCUGCUGAUGGCCAUGGCUAAUUCAUGACUUUGAGGACACUUUGGGCAAACAAUUGUCCAAAGACGACGAAGAAGAAGCAGGAGCCACACUCAGGAAUUGAUUAUGCAUGGAGUGUGUGUGUCUUUCUGUCUAUCUGUAUGUCCUCAUGUGUGCAUGCCAAUCAACUGGAGAAUCAAUCAAAAUGCAAUAGUACGUACGAUUGCCAAUCAAAGCUAAAUCCAAGGAAGAAGUCACUCCUGCAGAGGUGGCAAGCAGCUGCAGUCCAGCUUAAAAUGGAUAGCCAGGACCCACUCGGACUCUACGUUCUUUUUCGGACAAGGGCAGCCAACCAAUGUAAGUAAGAACCACAUCAGGACAAACAGCAGGAGCAGCAGCAGCGCCACAGACACACGACGACGACCAGGCAAACAAUCAAAUGUCCAGCCAGGCGUGACGCUCGGCCCUGAAGGAGCAGCAGAGCCAGUGGCAGAGGCAGAGCCAGCGACAGCGUCUAUUUGCCGAGCGUACUUUUUGCAUUUGCCAAACAAGAGUGUGUGGUGUGCUGUGCUGUGGUGUGCCCUGGUGGUGCCCUUCCUUUUGCACUCUGUUUGAACACGAGCCCAUACCGAGUGUGCCGAGGUCCGAGGCAGUGCACAUACUUUGCACCUGUGUUUGCACUUAAAUCGAGUUUGAGGCCCAACACAUGGCCGUAAAUCGUAGAUGGAGGAGGAGCACUCACCACAUUCACAAAGUCCUGGAACGUUACAUAGCCCGGACCAGUGGGCACUUGGGCCUUCUUAGCGCGCUCCAGCAACAGCUCCCGCUUGUUCAUAGGCACUUGGGAUAGAAACUCCGGCGAUGUGAGGGCCGAUAGGAAUUCUGUGACGCAGAUUUCACCAAAACCUUCAGGAUCGAACUGGAAAUUAAAAGAGAAUUUUAGUUAACAAUAGAUCUUGAGGUGGCGAGUGCUUGUAAUUACCAUAUCAAAGAGGAGUUUCCAUUUCUGUGGGGUUUAAAAGAGAUAUUCUAGGAUUAGCAAAGGGUUUAGGUUAUAGUUCCCAUAAGAACUCACAUCUCUCAGCAAUUCCCUGCGCAGUUCAGCCUCAUCAAAGUCAGAGUUUAGGGAGGCACUUACAUAUCUCAUUUGUGUAUGCGAUAUGGAUCCAAUGGAGGCCAGGGAGCCAGCUAUGGUGGAUAUAUGCUCGAUAUCGGCCAG